rnacentral:lncRNA from 1 species
UCCCGCGUUGCUCUGGCUCUGACGUAGCUGGUGGCUACAGCUCCGAUUAGACCCCUAGCCUGGGAACCUCCAUAUGCCGUGGGAGUGGCCCAAGAAAUAGCAAAAAGACAAAAAAAAAAAAAAGAAAAAAGGCUAAAUUAUGAGAAAGGUAAGUAACAUAGUCCACAGAAGAAAAUGAUUAAAAAAAUGCCAUCACCUCAGUGUUUUUCAGUAUACCAAAAUAUUACCUAAAUACAAAACAAACAAAUAUUAUUAUAAAAUAAGCACCUUGGUGUAUGUGUAUGUGUGUGUGUGUGUGUGUGUGUGUGUGUGUGUGUGUAUGAACAGCAUAUAUAUACAAAAUACACAACAUAGCAAACAAAGCAAGAGUAAAAUGGAGAAAAAAAAACUCCCAGAACAUUUUGCUCUGUUCUCCAGGCUAUGGGCUCAAUUUCAAACAACUGUUAAAAGGAACAACUCACUUGAAUAUUUUACCCCAUGAUUUCACAGUCAGCAGAGCAAGGCCCUCACCUUAUAUUGGAUGUACUGAACGUAGAAUCAUACACAGAGAUUGUGUUUGUGUAUGGACAUCAUAAGGCAGGGAAAAAAAUGGAGCAAUAAAUGGAAGAAACUGAAACUCCUGAGUGGCAUGUUGAGAGUCCUUUCUUCGUAAUGGUGAGAAGGUCUGAAGAGCAUGGCUGUGAGAGGGAACCAAAGAGGACAUGAGUCACGUGGUUUAGGGACAGAUCCUGAAGGGCGAUGACAACCAGAGAUAAACAUAUGAAAGCCAAGGGAGACUUAAGGGAAAUGAUGAUUAUUAUUUUUUUUUUAAUUUGAUGCUAUUCUGUUACACUCUUUUAUUUGAGGCAAGGUGAAAAAAGAGUCAUGGGACAUAGGUUAUACAAUAAAGACAGAACUCAGAAGAGACCAGGAUGUAAGAAUCAAAUCACCAAGAAACACAGUAGUCGCCUGCAAAUCUUGGGAGAUACUGUAAAGCAGAAAGGGGAACUAGAAUCUCUCAGUUUGGAGGACUGGGACCUACCGUAAGUUAUUUUAGAAGUUCAGUGGUGAGGGUAACUUCAGAAGAUUUGAAGAUUUAGUAGUUCAUGGGUUUAUGACCCUUGGAUUAUAUAAUGAACUAUUAAACUUACUUCCUAAAUAUUUCCUUACAAUGUCUUUACUUCUUUUCUAUUCCUACUAACACUGAAAUGUUCUCUGAACUUUUUUUGACCUUUAUACUUUUCCUCCUUUCCAUCUUCAACUCCCAUAAUUCGUCCUUCCUUGGUAAUGCUAGCCAAAAUGAACACUUCAAAAAUAAUAUUAUCUGAGAUUUUCACUGUCUUAGGCAAAAAUAACAUUCAUGCGGCUUAUGAUAUAUUUGGACUUAAUUCCACCAUAUUAUUCAGGUUUUAUGUUUACCAUGCUUAUUCUUCAUUCUUUCGUCUUGAUUAACAACAGAUUGAUAAAAAAAAAAAACUUUCCCUAAUUUUGCUUCAACGUUAUAGUUCUGUUAUUUUAUGGAUGGCCCUUGAAUUUUUAGCAUGUAUGCCCAACUUUUCCUCUUUCGAACCAAAUUUCAAUUUACCUCUAUUUCUACCUGUAUCUGCAGGACUGCAGGAGAAUAAAUUUCUGUUGUUUUAAUCCAUCCAGUUAAUGGUACUUUGUUUCUGCAGCUGCAGGAAAACAAUACAUGUCAUUUUCCUACUGACCUCAGGGUGCUCUCUUCUCUCCUUGAAACUUCUAUACCCAGAGCUUUUCACUAACUCAGUUAAAUCCAUUUUUGAAAUUUCAUUUCAGCUUACUGUCACUUUCGCUCUGCCCUCCUUCACCAGGUAGGAUGAUGUUAUGUACUGUCUUUGAACACUGCAUUUUUUAUAGCAUUUCUCACAAAUGUAACUAAGACUUAAUAUAGCUGUUGUUUACUGUUUAUCUCCUCCACUAGAAUGUGAGCUCCACGAGUGCAUAUACAGUUCAGCACUCUACUCUUAUCAACUAAGACCAUAUCUAUUUCGUGGUAGGUUAUAAAUAAAUGCAUGUUAAAUUAAAUAAUAAUAUACUUGGUAGCAAGGCUAAUUUCAGGGUACAGACAUUCCUAAUUUGGAGGCUAUAUCUUCUCAGGAAUAACUAGGUGAGAUAUUUUUAACUUCAGAAGAUCCCUAAAUGCUAGAUGCACACAUGCUAGUGUCAGGUUAAUACAUAAAAUAUAUAUUUCUUAUUAUAGUGCUUUCUUUGAAGGGAUUUAAUUAUAGUUUCCAUCAAUGUCAGCUAUCCACCAGAACCACAGUCAUAGCUUAAACAAUAUUUGAUUUUGCUGCUUGAAUCUUUUUUCCUUCAUUGAGAGAAAUCUCAUUUUUGUUCAACUUCCACUUGCUUUUUUUCUGUAGACAUUUUUGUAGACUUUACAUAAUACACAUCUUUUUCAGGGGGCCCUCUUCUCUACUACUCUUUAUACACAUGAGCAUAGAACACAGAGUCCCUCAAGUAGUAGGAGGAGAAGACAAGUGUAAGGAUGUGAAGAAAAUAAAAACACUAGGUAUCAAAGGGUUUCCCAAUUCCAGGGAAAUGGCCUGAAGAUGGUUGCUACCAACCAGGAAACACAGAGAAUGGUAUGAACUGAAAGCAUGAUUAUAAAUGAGUUUGGCAAUGAUUCUGUAGAAGGGGGCUCGGGAGAGAAUCACAGAAAUUUCUGAGCCAGAAUACUUACGAAUGGACAAGACUUGGUCAGAUAAACAACAACAUCAAAAAAGGCCUCUUCUGGUUUACAAAUAGAACUUUGGAAAAAGUUUUUCUGCCACUGCUGCAAAACUGCCUUCACAGUGUGGAGAAUUCAUUAAUCUUGGCAAUCCUUACUUGCUCAGUGGAGACUGAUUGUAGCAGCUGUAUCCAAGCAUGGCCUUUCCCUUGGAAAGUGUUACGUUUUUAAAGCACUGAGCCUCAAACUCAGAUUCCUCCAAAUAAGAAUACCCAAAGAAACUCUUGGCAAAAUAAUAAGAGUUUUGCUAUACCCUAUAAGAGCUAUACCCCCAAGAGUUUUGAAGUAGAGUAGGUGGGAAUCAAAAUUUAUCUUUUUUGGUCUUUUUAGGGCCGCACCCAUGGCAUAUGGAGGUUCCCAGGCUAGGGGUCCAACAGGAGCUAUAGCUGCCGGCCUAUACCACACCCACAGCGAUGCAGGAUCCGAGCCGUGUCCGUGACCUACACCACAGUUCAUGGCAAUGCCGGAUACUUAACCCACUAAGCGAGGCCAGGGAUCAGACCCACCUCCUCAUGAAUCCUAGUCGGAUUUGUUAACUGCUGAGCCACAAGAGGAACUCCAAAAUUUAUCUUUCAAAGUUUAAAAUCAGUAAGCCACAAAUACUUUUUGGUGACCAUAAACUGGGAGAAUUCCCCCUUCAAUGUGAAAUGCCUUCUUUUAAUAUGCAACAUCAAAAUCAUGUCCACUAUUUUUUUUUAUAUCUAAAUUAACACAUGCCCUUGAGACACAAUCAGCUAACAUAAACAUAUCUUUCCUCUAGUGUCACACUAGAUCUUGUAAGGACUGAUGUGAAAUGACAAUGGUAAACUCACUAGUGAACGAUGUGUUCUAGAGAGACAUAUAUUGCUAGUACUUAUAAUCUAAAUCAAGUUUUUCUAGCAUUGUAACUUAUGUCAACUUUCAUUAAAUGCUUUUAUUACUUUUCGGCGAAUGGUUAACAACACGUAAUUUCAGGAAAAUGAGUUAUUCUGUGCCUUUUAAUUUUCUAAGAAUUGGGGCUAUAUCCUUUCAUGAAUCAGAAUUUUUGUAUUUUUAUGUUACGACCACAUUUUAAAAGUUAAGGUAAAUGAGUGAUUAAGGUAAAUGAAUUUCUGAAAAGAGCAUUAAGGAGAUCCUCUAUGAGUUAAAGAUCUGGACGUUAGUAAAUGUGAACUUAUACUAACCAUUUUCAUCACAAGUACACAGCAACCUAUAAGAUAUUCUCUGUAAUAAAAUACCACAAAUUCAUAGGGAAACAAAAGCAUUUUUCUCAUAAAUCUUCACUAUUCUUGCCUCUGACUGCAAACUGGCUAGGCAACUUCACUGAGGGCUGAGCUUUCUUAUAAGUCUGUGUUUCAGUUGAGGAUCAGCAGGUGUGAUUUGAAUCUAUGCUUCAUGCUGCAGAUUUUCAGAUCAGCCAUGCUCUCCCCCAAGGAUGUCUUAUCUUCCUGGAUUAGAAGGCUAGCUGCAUGUUCUUCUCUUGAGGGCAGAAAUUCCAACAGCAAGCCCAUUCAUGUCAUCAUUUCUUUGCUUUUUUGCCAUGUCCAUUCAAAUAUCCAUCAGCCAAACCCAACACAGCACUAAAGAACAGACUAACAUUUGUGAAAGGAGCUGCGAAAUUAUGUGACAAAGCUUAUGAAUUCAGAGAGUGAUGAAAAAAUUAUGACACACUUACUCACUCUGCCACAGGCAUCUUUUAAAUUUAAUUGGUAAUUUGUUUCUCAAUUGUUCUUCAAUAACAGAAAUGGAGGAAUAAUUGGUCUGAUGGUUAGGACUGAGAAGAGCCAUAUAUCCUUAGUUUGUUCCACUUUUACUGUUCUUCUAAAGGAGAGCAUUAGUGUAGAUAUGAAUUCUGGGCAGGCAAAAUAGAAGAAUCUAAUAUUGGAAAGUAUAAUCAUUACUGAAAUAGUAGAUAGAUAAGAAUGAUUUCUAGUGUUCCUGAGUAUGUGGGGGUACUGAAGACUGAGGUUGGGCUUAACACAGAGAAGCAAAUUAAAAGAUCUGCACUGCCCUAGGAAAACUACAGUCCUUAUAACUCAAGAGUUGAAAGAUUUAUUUCCCUGUGGACCAAGGUUUCAGCAGAUCAAUUAAUAGAGCAUGUUCUUCUUUUCUGCUGCCAUGUGCAGGAAGAAAAAUGUGUUGAUUAUGCCAUUUCAGAGUACUGUAUACACAAAGUCAACUUUAUGGGCUAGUUUAACCUACAGUGCAGGACUCAGAAACUGGGAACCCGAAAAUAAUCGGUCUCUGUCCACUUGGCAGUAUGAACUAUCAUGAAGUCCAGUGGUUGGCAGACAGGAUCUGGAGCCCAGAGUGGCUCUCGCUUCACAGCUUCUGAUCAAAGGGAUGACGGUCCCUAAACUCAGCAAAGUCUGAGAAUCAAAUUACUAUAAAACAUAUGCCGUAAAAUUUACAAAAGGCUUAGAGUAAUGUAAUCUUUCCCUUCUAGGCAAGGAAAUGAGCACUGCUAAAAUGUGUAGGUUUUACAAUACUGCAAAGGAAGGAAAAUGCCAUUAAUAUCAUCAAAUCACCCAUAAUGGGUCCUCUUUCAGCAUAGGGCUAAUUUUCUCUUUGGCCUCCUCCACUAGAGAAUGAUUUUUCUGUGUGGAGCCUCUGUUAGGUUAAUGGCAGACUUCUUGAGUAGUAAAGCAAUAAAUUGGCCCCUUAUUAUUAACCUGGCUUCCUUUAAUUUUGUGAUUUUUAUAACAGUAUGAAAAGAUGUAAUAUUCUUUGAAUAAUUUCUAUGUAUUCAAAGGACUUAUUAGUUCUAAAAUACAUAGUUAAAUAAAAAUAAUAGCUCCUUUCUAAUGUGACAUGAUAAUGUUGCAGAGUAUAUCUUUAUGCAUUAGAGCUGAAAGUGACCUUGGAUGUAUUAAAUCUAACUUUUUACUAGGGUAGAAAUCUCUUUUAAAAUAUUUCUGAAAGAAUAUCACCCACUUUUUAUUUUAUUUUAUUAUUUUUUGUUUGUUUGUUUUUUGUCUUUUUAGGGCCGCACCCAUGGCAUAGGAAGGUUCCCAGGCUAGGGGUCUUAUCGGAGCUGUUGCUGCCGGCCUACACCAGAGCCACAGCAAUGCCAGAUCUGAGUCACAUCUGCGACCUACACCAGAGCUCAUGGCCACACCAGAUCCUUAACCCACUGAGCAAGGCCAGGGAUCAGAACCUGCAACCCCAUGGUUCCUAGUCAGAUUUGUUUCUGCUGUGCCACAACAGGAACUCCCACCUUUUUUUUUUUUUUUUUUUUUUUUUUUAAUGGCCGCACUCCAAGACCAGGGAUCAUAUCCAAGCCACAGCAACCUAUAUCACAGCUGUAGCAACUCCAGAUCUUAACCCACUGCCCCAGGCCAGGGAUUGAAUCCACAACUCUGCAGAGACCUGAGCUACUGCAGAUAGAUUCUUAACCCAUUACACCACAGCGAGAAUUCCUGUUGUCAUCUUUCUGAUGGAGCACUUUCAGUCAAUGAGACUUCCAAGAGACACAGAGCAAAAUGUGGUGGGAAGCCUGACAAUAUCCAUAAAAUAAGCUGCAAACAAAAUGCAAAAAAGAAAGGAAAAUAGAAAUUGAUGGAUAAAAUAUUUCCCUGAAUGAGAAAUUUAAAGUAUUUUCACUUCAAUUUUAAUUUAACUGUGUAUUUGUAUCUCCUCCUCCAGAUUGUAAUUUUGAAGAAGGAACGGAAGCUGUGAAAAGUGAAUAGUCAGCAAUAUUUAUAGUGUUGAAGAAAGAAUCUGGUUUUCUGGAACACAGCCUGUGAUAGCAGAACAACGCCUGGCAAGAAAUAGGUUAUGUUUGGCUGGAGAGUAACUGGCACUAUCAAGAAAUAUUAAAGUGGAUAUUUGAGAGAAGAGAAAGACCCAAGCAAAACUGCAAACCAGGUGGGACCAAGAGAGCAACAGGACAAUGGAAGUAUAGUUUGUCAGUCGACAUAGAGUUAACACACAAUUUUGUGCCUCUUCUUCUGGUCAUAGAACUGGUAGUACCAUUCUUCGCAUUUAACUUAAUGAGUUAUGAAAAAUUCUCAAGCUUCACUGGUGGAACUUGCUACUUGCUUUCAAAAUGUAAGAUAUAAGAACUUUCCAACAGGGCUCACAAUAUGUCACAAUGUGUCACAGACAUAU